rnacentral:sRNA from 1 species
UUGCGCGAAUAGCGCGCUGUUCGCGUUA